UCUCUCUCUCUCUCUCUCUCUCUCUCUCUUUCUCUUUGUUUACUUUAGUUUUCUUUUCUCUCUCAGUCUCUUCUUUAUCUACGAUAAUCCGCGACGCCUAACGAGAGGUAGAGUUGGUUUCUUUUCUCUGACUUUAUUAUAAUUUCAUAGCCCUAAACCGUUGACGUGUAAUCUUCCUAACGCACGACGACCUAUGGUGCCUGCGAUGCCAAAACCUUUAAAUGACCGAGACCGUUUCUAAAACGAACGGAGGCACGGAAGAGACUAACACACACACACACUCACGGUAAACGACGCGCAGGCAAUUAUUACAACUUUUCAUCGUAUUGCGGCCAGUCUAAUGAGUAAACGUAUCAAAUCCGACUACUUUUUCGUUGCUAAAUUUUAUCGUUUUUUGUCGCCAGUAUUUUUUUUUUCGUUCUCUCCGAUCAUAGCGGCGUUAAAAUGCGAUCGAGGUCUUGCGGGGCGUGGCGCCGAUUAAAUCGUGCAAACAGUGUUCAGAGAAACGUUAGUUUCGGAUAAAUGUUAGGUGUAAAAUAUGUUUGUAAUCUCCUGUCGCUAAACAGUUUUCAUUGAAUUUAACGAAGACUGUGCAAAUGCGCAUAAUACGGAACAUCGUAUUCGUGUAUACUCGUUUCUAAAAAACGAAUCGAAUAGCUGAAUGUUUCACCGAGCGCGAGUCCAAUUAGAUAUGUUUGUUCAAACUGUCGAUUUAGAUUUUUUUGAAAAAAGUUUUAAGGUUUCGGAAGAUUUAAAGAUUUUUAGAAGCAACUACGUAAAUACAAUUGCGUAUCGGGUUUAUUAUCGUUUCAUUAAAAAAAAGGACAAACUUUUCUAACUUUUAACGAGCUUUCAGAAGUAAGUCUUUCAUGUUACCGACGUUUAUCCGACUCCGCAAGUUUCGAACAUCGUUUUCAACGCCCGAUGCAUCAUCCUUGAUUCGCUGAGAAAGAUCUGCCUCUACUUUCUUUGUUUUCUGUGUAUUCUAUUCUCUAAACUCCUAGUUAUGUGUAACGAAGCCGACAUGCUUUUCAGAUGAGUUUAUUGUGGCCGCUGGAUAAAGCCGGAACACGUAAUACAAUGAAAACUGUAAUGACAAAUGUCACGGAGCGUUUUAGUGCCGUUUUGCCCGCGUACGAAUCACGUGCUAAUUCGACUCCAGAUCGGAAUCUGAAUUUGUGUCGUUGCGUUCAUCGAUCUCGUCGAUCUCUGAUCGAUUUUCUGUGACAAAACGAGAAAACUAAAAACAAAAAAAAUGAAAAGAAAACGAAAACCGAUGUAUUAGAAGAAAGUAACCCGCUCCUUGAAAUCCCGUCCUGAACAAAAAUAAUGUAAUACGUGAAAAAGCGGAAGGAUCGACGACCAAGAAGAUCAAAAUGGAAAGAAAACAAGUAAAAUUGUCGAGUAGGCCUGUGUCGUAACGCAAAAAGAAAGUCAGAGCUGUGUCGAUUUGACUUUUUUUUGGCGUUUUUUCCCCCACUUGAUGCAAUAUUUCAUUUUCUUGUAAUCGCAUAGUUUUUAGUUCGAUCGGCAAACGUGUAAUUAUUUUGGUGAUCCGAAUAUCGAUGGACGUUCUUUGAAAUUUUACGUUUUCGUUUCAUCGAACAGGUCGAGAGGAAUACAUAUAGCUCGGACAGUCAUUUGUGUUUUUAAUGAAUUACGAUGAGUCUAGCAAUACGAGUUUAAAAAAAAAAGAAAAAAUGGAAGAAAGUAAAUAUUGUAAAUGAUAUCCAGUGGCAAGUGAAUAGAUAAAUGAAUAUUAAACACCGUUGCAUACGAUUCUGUGCAAAUUGUAUCGUAACCCGUAUGAAAAUGUGUAUUAUGUUUACGUGGCAAACGUAAAACGAACGUGAUAAAGCGAUUUAGAAACGUUUUAAACAAAACCAUUAAAUCAAUGUUAACGGACACCUAAGUGCGCAACAACGUGCGCAAAAAUGAAAAAAAAAAUAUGAAGCGACGAUUUGUGUAGUUUGUCUCGAAGGUAUAGUUCUUAUCGACACUAUAAAAAUAAUGUAACCUUAACCUGUAACCAUUCAAUAUUGAGUAUACAAAAAGACCAUAAAAAUAACUUGUGCGUAAAUAUUUUAAAGUAACCACCUGUUUCUUCUUUCUUACAUAUGUAAUUCUCGUAAAUUGAAAUAAAUGAAAAGAAUAAUGGCUCUAUUGUAAGCAUCGUUUGAAAAAACUUCAAUUAAAAUCCUCAUUAAUCAACGCUAUUAUAAUCUGCGAAAAUAUAAAUAAAUAUAUCCAGACACAACGAGCGACAUAUAAUAUUUCCCACGAUCUAUGACAUUGUCGACGUUUUAAACUGAUCCGCCUAAUUACAACGAGAGCAUCCGAUUCUAAUGUUUUUAAUCUUCUUUUUUAAUUCAAGCGUCGAUUAAAACACGUUAAGUGCCCAGCACGUUUUGCUUUGCCGUUCCGUUCAGGCCCAGACUUGCAAAAAGACAGCAGAACAAAACCUCGGCAUUAUUUUGUAAAAAAGGAAGGCAGUGUUCAUAAAAUUCGUGUCAAAUGUUCUAACAGAAAUUCCCAAAUGUUAGGGUCCAAAGAAUUUAACGCUAAAAGUUGGCACCUUUUGUAACGAAUUUAAAAACAAACCACACUUUUGUUUAGCUUGUUUCAAUAUAUUGCAUUAACUUUUUUAAAAAAUAUUACAUUCUUUUUCUAAAGCCUUUUCCGAACAAAAACUAAUAUAGCCUAAGCAAAAUCUUUAAUAUGAACCUAAAGUCAGUGGCCGGGCCUGAACGGAAAGUCUUAACAUCGGUCCCUGGGGACCAACGUGGCGUUUAACGUGUUAAAUAUCGAGAUUAAAUGUCGGGCAACGAAUGUCGUUGAAAAAUGUAAACGGUAUGAUUUACGUUAAAGCUGAUAUUAUUCGCUGUUCAAAUUUUUGACGAUAUCAAAGGUUUUGGUUUUCGGUUGUACGCAUCUUAAACUUCGAUUUUUAUUCAAGUUCUAUUAAACGCAAUUAAGAUAGUUACUUCUAACAUGUUUUUUUCGUGUAUCCUUCUUAGGUGUGUAGAAGCAUAUGGAAAAUAGCGUGGGAACGCAUUUUCACAUGGAUUGAAAUAUUUUAAUCUUCUUCUGUUUCUCUGCUCAGCGGGGAUUGAAGUGUCUUAGGAUCACCUUUGUGCAUUGCCUUGGCUGCAUUUAAUGAGCUUACAAGUUUUGUCUAUCGACACAGUGCUAAUCGAUGAUUUCAAUUUAAAAUUGGCUGUUAAAAAAUGAGGAAUAACCAGAAACUACUCAACGCUUGUCGAAGAAGAACUUUCCCGCAUGUGUGAACACUCUUUUAACUCUGCUUUCCCUGUUAGUCCUGUGUACAAAUUUAUAGAAUUGUGAGCCUUUUCUUUCAGAAUAGAAUAUAACGUUGAAUCGUGUCACGAUAAAUUUGUGUUCAUCGAUAACUGCACGGCAACAUGUACCAGACCGUUGAUCGUAACAAAACUAAAUUUUUGAUAAUAUCUGCGCACUUUAACGUGCUUCAUUUCGCUUCGAUCUUGCUUCAAUUUGCUCUAAACUCGUUCCAUUUCGCUGCGAUUCACUCUGGUCAAUUCACACUUUGAAUAUAUUUCGAAAAAAAUGUCCCGACCUCUGUUUUUUAACCAGCCUAAGGCCUGUUCUCCAAAAACAGUAAUUUCGUUUUUUACCUUUAACAAUUUUUAUUAGUAUUAACAUGAAACCUCGUUUAAUGUACAGUUUGUACUUAGUGCGUGUACGAAUGCGUGUGUCAAGGCCUGUGGUGGAACACAUUGAUGGAAAAUAAAUAAAUGAAAUAUGCAAAUCAACGGUA